GGGAAGUGAAAAAUUAUAUCAAUUAAGCAUGAGUCGCAGGUAUGAAAACUUUCGAACAGUUUCGUUUUGUUUUCUCAGUAUUUUAUUCUUUCCUUAAUGAUUACCAGAAGAGUGAAACAAUGGUGUGUACUGUGAUGAGAGAUCCUGGGAGAUGUUAUAAUGAAACAAAAGACAAUUUUUGUGUUAGAAAGAAUAAGACUGAGGAUUCAUUCAGAAAAGGGCUAAAUCUUUGAAGAGCUUAACGAAAAAAACCUAUUCCAACAUUGCACGUGGAAUUCUCUAUGUGGAAUGGAAAAAUCAAGGACUACCAAAACUGGAGCCCAGCAAAUCUGAAUCAUGCAAUGCGGCCAAGUUUGAUUAGCUACAAGAAAAGAAAUCCGAUACGCCUAUAUAAUUUUCCUUACCAGGCUCAAAAAAUCUAAAGCGUGGGCCAUAGUUUCUUCUUCCAGUAAGGAUAUAUACCAAAAGUAGGAGAAAAUUCAGAGCAUACAAAAGUCUGGAUAACAGGAUUCAACUGCUCAAGAGUCAUUUGUUUAUUCGUAACUGAAUUGGGACCCCAAAAAGUAUCAUUUUUCGCCUUGCUUUUUCUUAGAUUGGAUGAUUCAUCUCAUGUAAAAGAAACCUAUUUUAUUGGUAUGCCCAGAAUAAAAUAAGAGGUUGUGCAUACAGAACCUGAGGAAAACUGAACUUUUUCAUGAAGGAUAUCCCAAAAAGCUUAUAGAAGCAGCAACUAUUUUAGCAACCAUUUUCCCACCUUUCAAAAUGAUAAUGAAACCAAAAUCGAAGAAACAAAUGUCAGGAGUAGAAAAUUUUAACCUCCCAAUCCACCCAAAAAGCCAGAACAACAUCAUAAGAGAAAAACAAAAACAGAUGGUGAAGUCCCUGAUCCAAUUGUGAUGUCUCAUUUUGUUUCAUUUGAUCUGAAAUGGAGUGAAGAGAAGAAAACAAAGUGUUUGAAGAUUGAAAAAGGAAUGGAUACAAAACCUUGGAGUUUUUGGUAGAGAGAUUGAGGAAGAAGGAACUAGAAAGAGCGUAGCAGGAGUUGUUGUGGUCUGAAGAACAGGACGGAAUUCCGACAAAGC
rnacentral:lncRNA from 1 species